AAGAGUAUAGCUUAAUUGGUAAAGCCCGUGUCUUCAACACAUGUGUUAGUAGUUCAAGUCUACUUGCUCUUG
rnacentral:tRNA from 2 species